rnacentral:tRNA from 1 species
UAAAAAGUAACUAAGAUGUAAGUGUAUAAUUGUUAUUUAUAAAAUAGCCCAAGCUCUUUUAAG